CACAGGUGAGAGAGUUUGAGUGCACAGGUGUGCGUGCGUGUGAGCGUGCGUGCGUGCGUGCGAGAAGGUCAGAGUGCGCCGCGUGUCCGUGAGUGAAAGUGCGCGUUUUUGUGUUCAGAUGGAGGACGCCCCCAGCUCCCAGAAGAGCGGGCGACUUUCUUCCUCUCACGACUUGGGGAGAGGAGGAGGAGGACCGUUUCCGACGUGGACAGGUUUCGGCGUCUUAGGGGUGAGAGCAGCUGUUUUCACAAUGUUGCCUGUUGAAGAAUCCAGGCCCGUUGUCUCAUGGAAGGUCCACGUCCAGGAUCUGCCUGUGUUUCCUUACAAUGUCAUUGAACUUGUUCCUCUGGCCCCUGUAUUGCCUAUAAACUUGAAGGUAGGCCUGGCGACUUGAUUAGAUACUUCUUAGCCCAUCUGGGGGAGACUAACCCAUGGGCAGGGCUCCCUUGGUGCUGACCUGGAGGCCCUCAGGAGGUUGCCCACCACAGUCCCAUGUCAUGCUGAGUUGCUGACAGCUGGGUCUCCUCAUUGUAAGGGGUCAGUUUCCUUGAAGGGAAAUGUUUGUCCUAUCCUGUCUCUCCCUCUUUUUUUUUUUUUUUUUUUUUUUUUUUUUUUUUUUUUUUUUGGUCUUUCUGUCUUUUUAGGGCUGCACCCGUGGCAUAUGGAUGUUCCCAGGCUAGGGGUCUAAUCGGAGCAACAGCUGCCAGCCUACACCACAGCCACAGCAAAACCAGAUCUGAGCCAUGUCUGCAACCAACACCACAGCUGGCGGCAAUGCUGGAUCCUUAACCCACUGAGCAAGGCCAGGGAUCAAACCUGCAACCUCAUGGUUCCUAGUCGGAUUCAUUUAUGCUGCACCACAACAGGAACUCCUGUCCUGUCUCUUGUAUUAAGAGAGCUGGGGCCCAGCAGGAGCUUCCAACUUAGGAUCCCAGCAUGCCUGACAGGACCAGAGGGUCAGGGCUCUGUGUGACAACUGCCCAAAGAUACCCCAGCAGGGACAAGUAGAGGCUGAAACCCAGCCGUGUGACAAUCUCCAAGCUGGUGCCGGGUUCAAGGCUGGCUUGGUCCAGGUAGGGCCAGAAUGGGAUGGAAUGUCCUGUCAACUGUGGGUGGUACCACUGGUUCUGACACUGUGGGGUGUCCUGAGUCCCUACACCCCACUAGACAAGCCUCUUACACCAUCCGGUGGACUCACUACCACCUUGAGUAUCUGCUUGAAAGGUGGGUGCCUUCUUCUGGGAUGGAGCAGAGGGGCAGGCAGCAGGGAGUCAGGAUUCACUACCAUUCCAGAUCACCCCCUGAUUUCUCAGAGUCUCCUGCACGGAUGCACACAGACCAGGGCAGGAUGA
rnacentral:lncRNA from 1 species